GUUUCCGUAGUGUAGUGGUCAUCACGUGCGCUUCACACGUGCAAGGUCCCCGGUUCGAUUCCGGGCGGAAACA
rnacentral:tRNA from 1 species